rnacentral:lncRNA from 1 species
AGGAUCAGGAAUAAAGAUAUUGAAGAUUAUGAUAAUGAUGAUGAUGAAGAGUAUCAACCUUUAAGUGAAAAAAGAUAAGCUUUAAGAAAGAAGAAUCUUAAAAGAGAGCUUAAAGUACAAAAAGUUGAAUCUUCUUCAAAUGAAAGAAGAUAUCUCUUGAGAAAAAGAAGAUCUUGUGGCGAAUGGUAGAAGAAUUACAUUUUUUUUUAAGUAAGUGAAGAACAUACUAACGUUGCUUUUCUUGUUGAUCUAUUGUCUUUGUGUGAUGCUAUAAAGUUUUAAGAAGCAAUAAAGUGAGAAAAGGCUAUAAAAAAAAACUACCAAUCUCUUAUGAACAAUGGUAUAUGGAAAAUGAUACCUUUUCUAUUAAAUCCAUCUAAUAUUGGU